GUCAGCAUCACUAUUAUUAUCAUGUUUCUUUACCAAACUAGUACUUGGACUUAUUGGGCCAUUCUGCUUAAUUUGUGGCCCUCUCUUUUUCUUUGUCUGAGAACAAUUUGAUUCCAAAUUACAUUGCGACUCUUUGACAUAUGACCCUAUACUAUUGUUGAUAGCAGGAUCUACACUCAUAUCUCCAUCCAAGGGUGAAUUUCUC
rnacentral:misc_RNA from 1 species